rnacentral:rRNA from 1 species
UACGUAGGGCGCAAGCGUUAUCCGGAAUUAUUGGGCGUAAAGCGCACGUAGGCGGUUUGUUAAGUCGGAUGUGAAAUCCCUCGGCUCAACUGAGGAAGUGCAUCCGAAACUGGCAGGCUUGAGUACUAAAGAGGGUCGCGGAAUUCCCGGUGUAGAGGUGAAAUUCGUAGAUAUCGGGAGGAACACCGGUGGCGAAGGCGGCGACCUGGGUAGAUACUGACGCUGAGGUGCGAAAGCGUGGGGAGCAAACAGG